GUCUAUGGCCAUACUAUGUUGAGAGUGCCUGAUCUCAGAAGCUAAGCAGGAUUGGGCUCAUUUCGUACUUGGAUGGGAGUCCUUUGUAUUUUGGAGCAAAUU
ensembl:rRNA 5S_rRNA 5S ribosomal RNA